CGAGCGUCCGGGCUUCAGUGGGCAUUAGCAGCAGCUGGGAGGCCUGUGAAAGGUUCCGGGGUGCCACCGCAGUCAUUCUGUUCAGUGGGUUUAGGGCUCCUCUAGGCCCAAUGGGUUGCUGGAUUUUUAAUAGCCACAAGAAACCAACGCUAACACAGUGUGAGCCUCUCAGCAGGUCUGUGCUGGGUAUUAAUUAAUGCCUAUGAACCAGCUCCUCCCCUCUUCCUGGGAUGCUUCCAUCCCAACCUCCAUUCCUGCCAUUAUCCUUCUACUUUCAGCUCAGAUAUCCCUUCCUCUGGGAAGCUCUCCUGACCUGACAGAAUUGACUUCUCCCUCGUGUGCUGUGCAGACGCUGUGCAGACUCCAGCCGGGUUCUUACCACUGCCGUCAUCAUACGGCCCACCUACCUCUAGACCGUGGGCACGAACUGUGUCUUGUUUCUCGCGUGUGUCUUGGGAUACAAAGCAACGUACCUGGCCAAACUGGCAUUGAGGAGGUAUCUGUUGGCUUAAAUGACUCGAGGUGGAGCCUCCCCGAAAGGAGAACCUAGGCAUCUCUUCCCCAUCACCCGCCUCACCAUGUCUAACAGGAUGUCCACUUUCAGCCGCAAGAGAUUGUUUUCUUCCUCCAGCUGCUGGUUCCGCCUGCGAAGGCGCUGGACCUCCCUCCGGUCCACACCUCCACUAACCCCUGUCUCUGGAGGAAGGACAGAACCAGUUAAAGGGGGGUUUCCUUCUACAACCCUGAUUGAUGAGAUGGCAGGAAGUGCAGCUCACCUGCUAUCCACUGGCCAUUUUCAAACUUCAGGCUCUGCCCUGCCAGGUUCAUAGUGGGGGAUCCAUAUUCCAAGCCCAGCUCCACCUCCCGGGUUGACCGGUCCAACUGUGGGCGAGACGCUAUGUGACAGCUUCAGCAGGCCCGGAACUUGCCCUCAUUCCAGCUCCUCUUCCCCUAACAAUGUAACCCACUAACUUAUUUUUCUAAUCAUUACCUGGCACCUUUAAUGAUUUUUGUAAAGGCCAUAAAAUCAGAUGAUGUACAGCAAAAGUUUAAUUACAAGAUAAAAAAAUACUGUUUUUUAUAUUAGAUGUUUUCUAGAAAAGGUAUAUAUACUGAAAUUUAUAAAUUGAAUUAUUUUACAUCUACUAGACACUUAAUAGUUGAAGCAAUCCUACUGUAAAUUGUUAAUCAAGUGAAAAAUCCUUUUUAAAUAUAAUAGUCCCCUAAGUUAUCAUUUUCUUAAUAUAGAGCUACAUAUGUUGUGGAAAAGAUGUGAAAUUCUAACA